rnacentral:misc_RNA from 1 species
AGCAGCCGCGGUAAUUCCAGCUCCAAUAGCGUAUAUUAAAGUUGUUGCAGUUAAAAAGCUCGUAGUUGAAUUUCGGGAUCAAUACGUUGGUCGUGCUUUCGGGUACGUACUGGCGUCAUUGGUUUCUCUCUUCUGACGAACCAUGAUGUCAUUAAUUUGGUGUUAUGGGGAGUUAGGACUGUUACUUUGAAAAAAUUAGAGUGUUUAAAGCAGGCAUUAGCUUGAAUACGUUAGCAUGGAAUAAUGAAAUAGGACGUUUGAUCCUAUUUUGUUGGUUUCUAGGAUCGACGUAAUGAUUAAUAGGGAUAGUUGGGGGCAUUAGUAUUCAAUUGUCAGAGGUGAAAUUCUUGGAUUUAUUGAAGACUAACUACUGCGAAAGCAUUUGCCAAGGAUGUUUUCAUUAAUCAAGAACGAAAGUUAGGGGAUCGAAGACGAUCAGAUACCGUCGUAGUCUUAACCAUAAACUAUGCCGACUAGGGAUCGGAUGAUGUUAAUUUUUUAAUGACUCAUUCGGCGCCUU